CCAGACUCCUACGGGAGGCAGCAGUGGGGGAUAUUGCACAAUGGGGGGAACCCUGAUGCAGCGACGCCGUGUGGGUGAAGAAGUCAUUCGUGACGUAAAGCCCUAUCAGCAGGGAAGAAAAUGACGGUACCUGAAGAAGAAGCCCCGGCUAACUACGUGCCAGCAGCCGCGGUAAUACGUAGGGGGCAAGCGUUAUCCGGAUUUACUGGGUGUAAAGGGGGCGCAGACGGCGAUGCAAGCCAGGAGUGAAAGCCCGGGGCCCAACCCCGGGACUGCUCUUGGAACUGCGUGGCUGGAGUGCAGGAGGGGCAGGCGGAAUUCCUGGUGUAGCGGUGAAAUGCGUAGAUAUCAGGAGGAACACCGGUGGCGAAGGCGGUUUACUGGACCACAACUGACGCUGAGACACGAAAGCGUGGGGAGCAAACAGGAUUAGAUACCCCCGUAA
rnacentral:rRNA from 1 species